CCUACAGGAGGCAGCAGUGAGGAAUAUUGGUCAAUGGACGGAAGUCUGAACCAGCCAUGCCGCGUGCAGGAAGACGGCUCUAUGAGUUUUAAACUGCUUUUGUACAAGGGUAAACCUGAAUACGUGUAUUCAGCUGAAAGUACUUUACGAAUAAGGAUCGGCUAACUCCGUGCCAGCAGCCGCGGUAAUACGGAGGUUCCAAGCGUUAUCCGGAUUUAUUGGGUGUAAAGGGUGCGUAGGCGGAUUGAUAAGUUAGUGGUGAAAUGUCCGAGCUUAACUCGGGAACUGCCUCUAAUACUAUUGAUCUAGAGAGUAGGUGAGGUAGGCGGAAUGUAUGGUGUAGCGGGGAAAUGCUUAGAGAUCAUACAGAACACCGAUGGCGAAGGCAGCGGGCCGGGCCGCCACUGACGCUGAGGCGCGAAAGCGCGGGGAUCGAACAGGAUUAGAUACCCCAGUAGUC
rnacentral:rRNA from 1 species